UAGGGAAUCUUCCACAAUGGACGCAAGUCUGAUGGAGCAACGCCGCGUGAGUGAAGAAGGUUUUCGGAUCGUAAAGCUCUGUUGUUGGUGAAGAAGGAUAGAGGCAGUAACUGGUCUUUAUUUGACGGUAAUCAACCAGAAAGUCACGGCUAACUACGUGCCAGCAGCCGCGGUAAUACGUAGGUGGCAAGCGUUGUCCGGAUUUAUUGGGCGUAAAGCGAGCGCAGGCGGAAUGAUAAGUCUGAUGUGAAAGCCCACGGCUCAACCGUGGAACUGCAUCGGAAACUGUCAUUCUUGAGUGCAGAAGAGGAGAGUGGAAUUCCAUGUGUAGCGGUGGAAUGCGUAGAUAUAUGGAAGAACACCAGUGGCGAAGGCGGCUCUCAGGUCUGCAACUGACGCUGAGGCUAGAAAGCAUGGGUAGCGAACAGG
rnacentral:rRNA from 1 species